AGUGAACGCUGGCGGUAUGCCUUACACAUGCAAGUCGAACGGCAGCACGGGAAGUGGUUGCUGUUGGGGAGGGGGGGACGGGGGCGGAUUAGAUAGACAUAGGAAUCGAAGUGGUGGUGAGGGAGGAGGAAGGGGGACUUACACUGAUACCGAAUACGGGAUGAAGGUGAAGGACGUGCAGGUUCGGACCUUGCGGGAUGGACGGAGGCGAUGUCGGAUUAGCUAGUUGGUGGGGUAAAGGCCGACCAAGGCGACGAUCCGUAGCUGGUCUGAGAGGAGGACCAGCCACACUGGAACUGAGACACGGCCCAGACUCCUACGGGAGGCAGCAGUGGGGAAUAUUGGACAAUGGGCGCAAGCCUGAUCCAGCAAUACCGCGUGUGUGAAGAAGGCCUUCGGGUUGUAAAGCACUUUUGUUGGGAAAGAAAACCAUCAGGCUAAUACCCUGCGGUUCUGACGGUACCGGAAGAAUAAGCACCGGCUAACUUCGUG
rnacentral:rRNA from 1 species